CCUGUAUUGCCCUUUUGCGCGUAGCCCCCUGCAAGUUCCUCCGCCUCCCUCACGGGCCCUUCGCCGGAGCUUGCCAUAUGAAUGGUCAAACCCCGAUGGGGCUCGCCGCCGCCGCAGCCGCAGCAGUGAGGCCGUGCAGCCGGCGCCUCCUCUCGUCCGCCUCCACCGCGACGUCAAAGACGGCGGCGGGCACCGCGACCCCGCUCUUCCCCAGAUUGCCCCACCCGCACCACCCCCCGUGCGGCCGGCGCCUCCCCUUCCUGGUAUCUGCGGCGUCGCAGUCGCAGGCCUCGCAGACCGGCCCGGAUGCCCCGCCCACCCACAUCCCCUCCGACCCCCGCGCCGCCGUUUCCGGCAACCUCCCCUUCUUCGACCGC
rnacentral:lncRNA from 1 species